rnacentral:SRP_RNA from 1 species
GGCCGGGUCCCAUGCAAUGGAGCAUGUGGACAACGGGUCAGGCUGGAAACAGAGCAGCCCAUCCACCUGUCUUCAGGUGCCGUGGUCAACCUGGCCUUC